AAUUCGCCCUUAGAGUUUGAUCCUGGCUCAGGACGAACGCUGGCGGCGUGCCUAAUACAUGCAAGUCGAGCGGAAUGAAGAAGAAGCUUGCUUCUUCUGAUUUUAGCGGCGGACGGGUGAGUAACACGUGGGCAACCUACCUUGUAGAUUGGGAUAACUCCGGGAAACCGGGGCUAAUACCGAAUAAUCCAUUUUGCUUCAUGGCGAAAUGUUAAAAGGCGGCUUCGGCUGUCACUGCAAGAUGGGCCCGCGGCGCAUUAGCUAGUUGGUAAGGUAACGGCUUACCAAGGCGACGAUGCGUAGCCGACCUGAGAGGGUGAUCGGCCACACUGGGACUGAGACACGGCCCAGACUCCUACGGGAGGCAGCAGUAGGGAAUCUUCCACAAUGGACGAAAGUCUGAUGGAGCAACGCCGCGUGAGUGAAGAAGGUUUUCGGAUCGUAAAACUCUGUUGUAAGGGAAGAACACGUACGAGAGUAACUGCUCGUACCUUGACGGUACCUUAUUAGAAAGCCCACGGCUAACUACGUGCCAGCAGCCGCGGUAAUACGUAGGUGGCAAGCGUUGUCCGGAAUUAUUGGGCGUAAAGCGCGCGCAGGCGGUCCUUUAAGUCUGAUGUGAAAGCCCACGGCUCAACCGUGGAGGGUCAUUGGAAACUGGGGGACUUGAGUACAGAAGAGGAAAGCGGAAUUCCAAGUGUAGCGGUGAAAUGCGUAGAGAUUUGGAGGAACACCAGUGGCGAAGGCGGCUUUCUGGUCUGUAACUGACGCUGAGGCGCGAAAGCGUGGGGAGCAAACAG
rnacentral:rRNA from 1 species